rnacentral:rRNA from 1 species
UCCUACGGGAGGCAGCAGUAGGGAAUUUUCGGCAAUGGACGGAAGUCUGACCGAGCAACGCCGCGUGAAUGAUGAAGUAUUUCGGUAUGUAAAGUUCUUUUAUUUGGGAAGAAAAAACAAAUUGACGGUACCAAAUGAAUAAGCCCCGGCUAACUACGUGCCAGCAGCCGCGGUAAUACGUAGGGGGCAAGCGUUAUCCGGAAUUAUUGGGCGUAAAGGGUGCGUAGGCGGGUUAUCAAGUCUUUGGUUAAAAUGCGGUGCUCAACGCCGUAGUGCCAAAGAAACUGAUAGUCUAGAGUAUGGUAGAAGUGAGUGGAACUCCAUGUGUAGCGGUAAAAUGCGUAAAUAUAUGGAAGAACACCAGUGGCGAAGGCGGCUCACUAGGCCAAUACUGACGCUGAGACACGAAAGCGUGGGGAGCAAACAGGAUUAGAUACCCUGGUAGUCCACGCCCUAAACGAUGAGUACUAAGUGUAGCCAGAAGGCUGUGCUGAAGUUAACGCAUUAAGUACUCCGCCUGAGUAGUACGUACGCAAGUAUGAAACUUAAAGGAAUUGACGGGAUCCCGCACAAGCGGUGGAGCAUGUUGUUUAAUUCGACGAUACGCGAAGAACCUUACCAGGUCUUGACAUACUCGGCAAAUCUAUAGAGAUAUAGAGGAGGUUAACCGGGAUACAGGUGGUGCAUGGUUGUCGUCAGCUCGUGUCGUGAGAUGUUAGGUUAAGUCCUGCAACGAGCGCAACCCUUAUUGCUAGUUACCAUCAUUAAGUUGGGGACUCUAGCGAGACUGCCGGUGAUAAACCGGAGGAAGGCGGGGAUGACGUCAAAUCAUCAU